GUUCUGUAUUUCCAAAAUUGAAAAUCGUUCCGAAUUCAGAAGAGAACUGAACACAGGAACAGGUAUACUGUAAAUAACGUGAGAACAGCAACAUUCUGCUCCAUAUUUGGAGUCAAAACGUAGGUUCAUUCAUGCACAUACUGUAAAUAUUGAAAUUUCCUGAAAAGAAAUGUUAAAAUUAAACAAUAGUGGUAUGGGGAAACUGAUAUAUAUAGUUGUCUUUAUAGACACAAAAUUGGUUAUAUUAGUUCUCGUACAUGAUGAUUUGUUUUUAGAGUACGCAUCAAUAAAUUUUGGCGAUAAGAUUUUUAACGCGUUAAUUUUUUAGAGUGUCGUCGCGUCACACUGAGUUGCGCAUGUGGC